AAUAGAUACCCAGGUAGUCCACGCCCUAAACGAUGUCGACUAGGUGUUGGGGAAGGAGACUUCCUUAGUACCGCAGCUAACGCGUGAAGUCGACCGCCUGGGGAGUACGGUCGCAAGAUUAAAACUCAAAGGAAUUGACGGGGACCCACACAAGCGGUGGAUGAUGUGGAUUAAUUCGAUGCAACGCGAAAACCUUACCUACCCUUGACAUGGUCGGAAGCCCGAUGAGAGUUGGGUGUGCCCGAAAGGGAGCCGACACACAGGUGCUGCAUGGCUGUCGUCAGCUCGUGUCGUGAGAUGUUGGGUUAAGUCCCGCAACGAGCGCAACCCUUGCCAUUAGUUGCCACAUUCAGUUGGGCACUCUAAUGGGACUGCCGGUGACAAACCGGAGGAAGGUGGGGAUGACGUCAAGUCCUCAUGGCCCUUAUGGGUAGGGCCUCACACGUCAUACAAUGGCGCAUACAGAGGGUUGCCAACCCGGCGAGGGGGAGCCAAUCCCAGAAGUGCGUCGUAGUCCGGAUCGGAGUCUGCACUCGACUC
rnacentral:rRNA from 1 species